rnacentral:rRNA from 1 species
CCUACGGGAGGCAGCAGUGGGGAAUAUUGGACAAUGGGGGAAACCCUGAUCCAGCCAUGCCGCGUGAGUGAAGAAGGCCUUAGGGUUGUAAAGCUCUUUCAGCUGGGAAGAUAAUGACGGUACCAGCAGAAGAAGCCCCGGCUAACUCCGUGCCAGCAGCCGCGGUAAUA